CUGUCAGGGGGUCUAUGAUAAGCAGAUCAAUACCAGCAGACUGUCAGGGGGUCUAUGAUAAGCAGAUCAAU
rnacentral:lncRNA from 1 species